rnacentral:rRNA from 1 species
UACGGGGGGAGCAAGUGUUCUUCGGAAUGACUGGGCGUCAAGGGCAUGUAGGCGGUGAAUCGGGUUGAAAGUGAAAGUCGCCAAAAAGUGGCGGAAUGCUCUCGAAACCAAUUCACUUGAGUGGGACAGAGGAGAGUGGAAUUUCGUGUGUAGGGGUGAAAUCCGUAGAUCUACGAAGGAAGGCCAAAAGCGAAGGCAGCUCUCUGGGUCCCUACCGACGCUGGGGUGCGAAAGCAUGGGGAGCGAACAGG